rnacentral:snRNA from 1 species
CCACCUUUCUCGGCCUUUUGGCUAAGAUCAAGUGUAGUACCUGUUCUUGUCAGUUUGAUAUCUAAUACGUGAUCCAUUGGAUCACACGAUAUUAAAUUUAAUUUUUCAGUGGGCGAGUACAUCACAGUAGCUGGCUACUGGGGUUCUCGAGCGUUAUCCAGGUUUUGCACAACUGCUUGGGCACAAAAUUAACUUAU